UACGAAGGGGGCUAGCGUUGCUCGGAAUCACUGGGCGUAAAGGGUGCGUAGGCGGGUCUUUAAGUCAGGGGUGAAAUCCUGGAGCUCAACUCCAGAACUGCCUUUGAUACUGAGGAUCUUGAGUCCGGGAGAGGUGAGUGGAACUGCGAGUGUAGAGGUGAAAUUCGUAGAUAUUCGCAAGAACACCAGUGGCGAAGGCGGCUCACUGGCCCGGUACUGACGCUGAGGCACGAAAGCGUGGGGAGCAAACAGGGAU
rnacentral:rRNA from 1 species